CCGAUUGUGUCAGCUUACUCAACUUGGAGAGGGAAGAUAAUGUACCGGCGCCACCGGUACAUUUGGACAGCUGUUUGAACAGCUUAAUAGAAUGAUCAAGAACUUGUUUGACUGAAGAGAUAGAAUGAAAAGGGAAGACCCAAAAGUGUUUUAUAACAGAUACUGUGAGAGUACCGGAAUGCGCAAGAUGGUUUGCAUCAUGGUUAUGAAGGAAAAGCUGACAGUAUUUUUGAGACAGCAAGAAAAACAUCAUUGCACACCAUCAACUAAUGACUC